UACGGAGACCUCGAGCGUUACUCGGAUUCACUGGGCGUAAAGAGUAUGUAGGCGGUUCAGUAUGUCAGGUGUGAAAUCCCGGGGCUCAACUCCGGAACUGCGCCUGAAACUACUGGACUUGAGACUUGGAGAGGGAAGUGGAAUUCCUGGUGUAGCGGUGAAAUGCGUAGAUAUCAGGAGGAACACCAAUGGCGAAGGCAGCUUCCUGGACAAGUUCUGACGCUGAGAUACGAAAGCGUGGGUAGCGAAAGGG
rnacentral:misc_RNA from 1 species